rfam:Trichinella zimbabwensis scaffold90s, whole genome shotgun sequence.
CCAACGGCCCUUUUUAGGGCCUAAAAUUUUAAUAUCAUACAUUUUU